rnacentral:rRNA from 1 species
GACGAACGCUGGCAGCGUGCCUAAUACAUGCAAGUCGAGCGGACCACUUCGGUGGUCAGCGGCGGACGGGUGAGUAACACGUGGGCAACCUGCCUGUAAGACUGGGAUAACACCGGGAAACCGGUGCUAAUACCGGAUAAUCCUUUCCUUCACAUGAGGGAAAGCUGAAAGACGGUUUCGGCUGUCACUUACAGAUGGGCCCGCGGCGCAUUAGCUAGUUGGUGAGGCAACGGCUCACCAAGGCAACGAUGCGUAGCCGACCUGAGAGGGUGAUCGGCCACACUGGGACUGAGACACGGCCCAGACUCCGACGGGAGGCAGCAGUAGGGAAUCUUCCGCAAUGGACGAAAGUCUGACGGAGCAACGCCGCGUGAGCGAUGAAGGCCUUCGGGUCGUAAAGCUCUGUUGUCGGGGAAGAACAAGUACCGGAGUAACUGCCGGUACCUUGACGGUACCUGACCAGAAAGCCACGGCUAACUACGUGCCAGCCGCCGCCGUAACAC